UGGGGAAUAUUGGACAAUGGGCGCAAGCCUGAUCCAGCAAUGCCGCGUGAGUGAUGAAGGCCUUAGGGUUGUAAAGCUCUUUCGCACGCGACGAUGAUGACGGUAGCGUGAGAAGAAGCCCCGGCUAACUUCGUGCCAGCAGCCGCGGUAAUACGAAGGGGGCUAGCGUUGUUCGGAAUUACUGGGCGUAAAGGGCGCGUAGGCGGCCUGUUUAGUCAGAAGUGAAAGCCCCGGGCUCAACCUGGGAAUAGCUUUUGAUACUGGCAGGCUUGAGUUCCGGAGAGGAUGGUGGAAUUCCCAGUGUAGAGGUGAAAUUCGUAGAUAUUGGGAAGAACACCGGUGGCGAAGGCGGCCAUCUGGACGGACACUGACGCUGAGGCGCGAAAGCGUGGGGAGCAAACAGGAUUAGAUACCCUGGUAGUCCACGCCGUAAAACGAUGAAUGCUAGACGUCGGGGUGCAUGCACUUCGGUGUCGCCGCUAACGCAUUAAGCAUUCCGCCU
rnacentral:rRNA from 1 species